AGAAAACAAUUUUCAUUAUUAUCGAAACACAUCAUCUAUACGGAUAUUUCCAUAUAAGAUCUCAGAAAACAAUUUUCAUUAUUAUCGAAACACAUCAUCUAUACGGAUAUUUCCAUAUAAGAUCUCAGAAAACAAUUUUCAUUAUUAUCGAAACACAUCAUCUAUACGGAUAUUUCCAUAUAAGAUCUCAGAAAACAAUUUUCAUUAUUAUCGAAACACAUCAUCUAUACGGAUAUUUCCAUAUAAGGUACCGUAUUAAACAAUUUGAACAGUGAUA